UACGGAGGGUGCAAGCGUUAUCCGGAUUCACUGGGUUUAAAGGGUGCGUAGGCGGGCAGAUAAGUCAGCGGUGAAAUCCCCGAGCUUAACUUGGGAACUGCCGUUGAUACUAUUUGUCUUGAAUGUCGUGGAGGUUAGCGGAAUAUGUCAUGUAGCGGUGAAAUGCUUAGAUAUGACAUAGAACACCCAUUGCGAAGGCAGCUAACUACGCGGAUAUUGACGCUGAGGCACGAAAGCGUGGGGAUCAAACAGG
rnacentral:rRNA from 1 species